GUGCUCGCUUUGGCAGCACAUAUACUAAAACUGGAACGAUACAGAGAUUAGCAUGGUCCCUGAGCAAGGAUGACACGCAAAUUUGUGAAGCAUUCCAUAUUUUU
ensembl:snRNA U6 U6 spliceosomal RNA